UUAGUGCGGUUUUCACAUAUAAGUGGAAGGGCGAGGACAUGGCCCGAAUGCUGGAUGACAUGACCAGGAGGGUGAUGGUAAAAAUCACAAUAGCCAGUCAUUGCACCAGGCCAUACGGUAACAUUAACAGAACUUCAGUAUUGUUCGUAAGCAUAUCUUUCAUAGUGCUUAUGGUCAUAUCAUUGGCAUGGCUUGUAUUCUACUACAUACAAAGGUUCCGAUAUAUACACGCUAAAGACCAACUUUCGAGACGAUUAUGUAAUGCGGCCAAAAAAGCGUUGUCCAAGAUACCUACCAAGCACAUCAAAAUGGAUGACAAGGAGAUCGUCGGUGACGGUGACUGUUGUGCAGUGUGCAUUGAACCAUACAGACCUUCUGAAGUAGUUCGGAUAUUACCAUGCCGACAUGAAUUCCACAAAAGCUGUGUAGAUCCUUGGCUGUUAGAGCACCGAACUUGCCCAAUGUGCAAAAUGGACAUACUCAAACACUAUGGGUUUUUGUUCACAGGCAGUCAAGAGAGUUUCCUGCACGUAGAAGUCGAAGAGGUGACCAACGAUUUCGACGUAUACCAGUACGCACGUGGUCGGAGUUUCAUGGACACGGCGCAAAACUCGAGAACGAUACCGGACGUGGCCGCGGUGGCAGUGGCCGCUGCGACGGCGGUCGUGUGCGAAUCGCCCGACAGUAGGUCGUCGACGCCCGACGAACUGACGCCCGCGCUGGCCCAACUCAACGACGACGGCGGCGGCGGCGGCAACGGCAACGGCGACGGCAGUGGCGACGGCCGUACAGACGCCGCCGCCGUCGCCGCCACCACCAACUGUACAACGGUCGCCGCCGGCACCAACCGAUCGACGUCAUUCGAAGAGCAGCCUCCGGUCCACUCUGUUAGCAUACCUACGACAGCUAAAUAGUCUGACGACGGCCGACGCACUCACAAUCACAACUGUAUAUUUUAUUGAAUAACUUUAUUUGUUAUUUUUACAAUAUACAUCUAUUUCGCAAGACCAUUUCUGGAUAGCGUGUAUUUGUGUGCGUGUGUGCUCGGUAUAUACCACAGGAAUCCAAAACAAUAAUCGACUCUGAUUGGUGGCACAGCCGACUAGGUCCACUGCGGCAGACGCGUUCUUCAGAUGGUUUCUGAAACAUCAAAACAACGAUUCAGGACGGAUGUGAUACUAGCCAUUAAGAUGACUUAAACUUUGUAAUAGAAUGUAUCUUCAGUUUAAGUCUUAUUAUUAUAGAUAUUAGGAUUAGGUAUAAAAAAAAUUAUAUUAUAUAAUUUAACGAAAUUGACUUUUCAAUUUAAGUUAUUAAAACCGUAUGAAUAUACCUAGUCAGUAUUCCUAUAAUAUAAUAUAGCCCUCUGAUGAUGACUGGAUUUAAAUGUGAACGGUACUUUUUGUAACUAUUUUAUAGAUAAAAAUGUAUAAUUAUGUUAUUAUAUUAUUUAAUAUUUACUAUUAAGAUAAUG